CCUACGGGAGGCAGCAGUGAGGAAUAUUGGUCAAUGGACGAGAGUCUGAACCAGCCAAGUAGCGUGAAGGAUGACUGCCCUAUGGGUUGUAAACUUCUUUUAUAUGGGAAUAAAACGUUCCACGUGUGGGAUUUUGUAUGUACCAUAUGAAUAAGGAUCGGCUAACUCCUUGCCAGCAGCCGCGGUAAUACGGAGGAGCCGAGCGUUAUCCGGAUUUAUUGGGUUUAAAGGGAGCGUAGGUGGAUUGUUAAGUCAGUUGUGAAAGUUUGCGGCUCAACCGUAAAAUUGCAGUUGAAACUGGCAGUCUUGAGUACAGUUGAGGUGGGCGGAAUUCGUGGUGUAGCGGUGAAAUGCUUAGAGAUCACGAAGAACUCCGAUUGCGAAGGCAGUUCACUGGACUGCAACUGACACUGAGGCUCGAAAGUGUGGGUAUCAAACAGGAUUAGAUACCCCAGUAGUC
rnacentral:rRNA from 1 species